UCUAUUCGUAUUCAUAUCCAAUAUUUGGAGAUUUUAAAAAUAGUAUCCGUAUUCGUUUAUUUUAUUCAAAGUGAAGGGUUUUUAAUACGCAUGCUAUUCAUAUUUACACAUAAUAUGGAGAAUCAAAGGCAUACCUUUUGAAUCCUGAUUGAGCCUUUGAUGCGGAAAAUCUCCUGUCGUUCCUUUAACCCAACAGCGUCUCCGA
rnacentral:lncRNA from 1 species